rnacentral:misc_RNA from 1 species
GAAGAAGAGAGAGUCCAAAUUCGGGCUUCUCUUAAAGCUCAGAGUUGCUUCAAUAAUUAUCCGAAAUGGAAAGAAAAGCUGAGAGAAAAUUGUUACACAAGGGUCAGAGAAGAUCGAAGCCGCCUUCUUUGGAAAUUAAGGUUCGCCAACAAUCAGCCACAUCAGGAUCUCGUCAAGUCAUCUCUAGAGGACAUAGUUUCUGACGAAAUACAGAAAUUUAAGCACUCAUAUCAGAGUGAGACUUUUGAUAAUUCUAAAUUCUUCCUCGCACUGGAUGAUUCUAUAUGGGAAUAUGAUGGCCUUCAUGAAACUUAUCAAGGUGAUUGUGAG